rnacentral:tRNA from 1 species
AGAAACUUAGGAUAAUUACCAAACCGAAGGCCUUCAAAGCCUUAAACAAGAGUUAAACCCUCUUAGUUUCUG